GUAAACAUGGUCGAGCGUGUUCGCUCCGCGCAUAGGACAGCUGAUGUGUCCUACGGACAUUUGGUUAAAUUUAUAGAGGAUCCAAGUGAAGCUGCAGGAGUUUCAGCAACGUCAAAAACUGGGACCGAACAGUUUGUUUUGCUUGAUGAGGAACAGGAAGGGCAGCCUCUCCCAAAAAGGAGACCUGGAGAGAAACAGAAGCCGAGUUUAGGCCACUGCCACCAUCCACAUACAUCGAGGAAGAUGAGGGAGAGAAAUUCUCCUACCCUUAAAGAGAAUGGUUGUUUUUUUGACCAAGCAUGCUUCCCUGCUGUGAUUGUUCAACUGGGAAAACAACUUUUUCCACAGGAAGG